rnacentral:rRNA from 1 species
CUGGCCGCACAAGUCCAUCGGGAAAUCCACCUGCUCAACAGGUGGGCGUCCGGUGGAAACUGUGUGGCUUGGGACCGGAAGGCGCGACGGGUACGUCCGGGGUAGGAGUGAAAUCCCGUAAUCCUGGACGGACCGCCGAUGGCGAAAGCACGUCGCGAAAACGGAUCCGACAGUGAGGGACGAAAGCUAGGGUCUCGAACCGGAUUAGAUACCCGGGUAGUCCUAGCCGUAAACACUGCCUGCUAGGUGUGGCACCCACUACGAGUGGGUGCUGUGCCGUAGGGAAGCCGCUAAGCAGGCCGCCUGGGAAGUACGUCCGCAAGGAUGAAACUUAAAGGAAUUGGCGGGGGAGCACUACAACCGGAGGAGCCUGCGGUUUAAUUGGACUCAACGCCGGACAUCUCACCAGCAUCGACUGUAAUAAUGACGACCAGGUUGAUGACCUUGUCCGAGUUUCAGAGAGGAGGUGCAUGGCCGCCGUCAGCUCGUACCGUGAGGCGUCCUGUUAAGUCAGGCAACGAGCGAGACCCGCAUCGAUACUUGCCAGCAACGCUGUGAAGCGGUUGGGGACAGUAUCGAGACUGCCGUGGCCAACACGGAGGAAGGAACGGGCAACGGUAGGUCAGUAUGCCCCGAAUGUGCUGGGCAACACGCGGGCUACAAUGGCCGGGACAAAGGGUUCCAACUCCGAAAGGAGACGGUAAUCUCAGAAACCCGAUCGUAGUUCGGAUUGUGGGCUGCAACUCGCCCACAUGA